UUAGAAACCAUUCCCACUGGACAAGGCGCC
rnacentral:piRNA from 1 species